GGCUCAGAUUGAACGCUGGCGGCAGGCCUAACACAUGCAAGUCGAGCGGUAGAGAGAAGCUUGCUUCUCUUGAGAGCGGCGGACGGGUGAGUAAUGCCUAGGAAUCUGCCUGGUAGUGGGGGAUAACGUUCGGAAACGAACGCUAAUACCGCAUACGUCCUACGGGAGAAAGCAGGGGACCUUCGGGCCUUGCGCUAUCAGAUGAGCCUAGGUCGGAUUAGCUAGUUGGUGAGGUAAUGGCUCACCAAGGCGACGAUCCGUAACUGGUCUGAGAGGAUGAUCAGUCACACUGGAACUGAGACACGGUCCAGACUCCUACGGGAGGCAGCAGUGGGGAAUAUUGGACAAUGGGCGAAAGCCUGAUCCAGCCAUGCCGCGUGUGUGAAGAAGGUCUUCGGAUUGUAAAGCACUUUAAGUUGGGAGGAAGGGCAGUUACCUAAUACGUGAUUGUUUUGACGUUACCGACAGAAUAAGCACCGGCUAACUCUGUGCCAGCAGCCGCGGUAAUACAGAGGGUGCAAGCGUUAAUCGGAAUUACUGGGCGUAAAGCGCGCGUAGGUGGUUUGUUAAGUUGGAUGUGAAAUCCCCGGGCUCAACCUGGGAACUGCAUUCAAAACUGACUGACUAGAGUAUGGUAGAGGGUGGUGGAAUUUCCUGUGUAGCGGUGAAAUGCGUAGAUAUAGGAAGGAACACCAGUGGCGAAGGCGACCACCUGGACUAAUACUGACACU
rnacentral:rRNA from 1 species